GAGGGGCAGCAUGAACUUAGCUUGCUAAGUUUGAUGGCGACCGGCGCACGGGUGAGUAACACGUAUCCAACCUGCCGAUGACUCGGGGAUAGCCUUUCGAAAGAAAGAUUAAUACCCGAUGGCAUAGUUCUUCCGCAUGGUGGAACUAUUAAAGAAUUUCGGUCAUCGAUGGGGAUGCGUUCCAUUAGGUUGUUGGCGGGGUAACGGCCCACCAAGCCUUCGAUGGAUAGGGGUUCUGAGAGGAAGGUCCCCCACAUUGGAACUGAGACACGGUCCAAACUCCUACGGGAGGCAGCAGUGAGGAAUAUUGGUCAAUGGACGAGAGUCUGAACCAGCCAAGUAGCGUGAAGGAUGACUGCCCUAUGGGUUGUAAACUUCUUUUAUACGGGAAUAAAGUGAGGCACGUGUGCCUUUUUGUAUGUACCGUAUGAAUAAGGAUCGGCUAACUCCGUGCCAGCAGCCGCGGUAAUACGGAGGAUCCGAGCGUUAUCCGGAUUUAUUGGGUUUAAAGGGAGCGUAGGCGGACGCUUAAGUCAGUUGUGAAAGUUUGCGGCUCAACCGUAAAAUUGCAGUUGAUACUGGGUGUCUUGAGUACAGUAGAGGCAGGCGGAAUUCGUGGUGUAGCGGUGAAAUGCUUAGAUAUCACGAAGAACUCCGAUUGCGAAGGCAGCCUGCUGGACUGUAACUGACGCUGAUGCUCGAAAGUGUGGGUAUCAAACAGGAUUAGAUACCCUGGUAGUCCACACAGUAAACGAUGAAUACUCGCUGUUUGCGAUAUACAGUAAGCGGCCAAGCGAAAGCGUUAAGUAUUCCACCUGGGGAGUACGCCGGCAACGGUGAAACUCAAAGGAAUUGACGGGGGCCCGCACAAGCGGAGGAACAUGUGGUUUAAUUCGAUGAUACGCGAGGAACCUUACCCGGGCUUGAAUUGCAACUGAAUGAUGUGGAGACAUGUCAGCCGCAAGGCAGUUGUGAAGGUGCUGCAUGGUUGUCGUCAGCUCGUGCCGUGAGGUGUCGGCUUAAGUGCCAUAACGAGCACAACCCUUAUCGAUAGUUACCAUCAGGUGAUGCUGGGAACUCUGUCGAGACUGCCGUCGUAAGAUGUGAGGAAGGUGGA
rnacentral:rRNA from 1 species